UACGUAGGGGGCAAGCGUUGUCCGGAUUUAUUGGGCGUAAAGAGCGUGUAGGCGGCUUUGCAAGUCCAUUGUGAAAACUCGAGGCUCAACCUCGAGACGCCGGUGGAAACUGCAAAGCUAGAGUCCGGAAGAGGAGAGUGGAAUUCCUGGUGUAGCGGUGAAAUGCGCAGAUAUCAGGAGGAACACCGGUGGCGAAGGCGGUCUCUGGGCGAUUACCUGACG
rnacentral:rRNA from 1 species